GACGAACGCUGGCGGCAGGCCUAACACAUGCAAGUCGAGCGGGACCUUCGGGUCUAGCGGCGGACGGGUUAGUAACGCGUGGGAAUAUGCCCAAAGGUACGGAAUAGCCUCUGGAAACGGAGAGUAAUACCGUAUGUGCCCUUCGGGGGAAAGAUUUAUCGCCUUUGGAUUAGCCCGCGUUGGAUUAGGUAGUUGGUGGGGUAACGGCCUACCAAGCCUACGAUCCAUAGCUGGUUUUGAGAGGAUGAUCAGCAACACUGGGACUGAGACACGGCCCAGACUCCUACGGGAGGCAGCAGUGGGGAUUUUCCGCAAUGGGCGAAAGCCUGACGGAGCAAGACCGCGUGGGGGAGGAAGGUUUUGGAUCGUAACCCUUU
rnacentral:rRNA from 1 species